rnacentral:lncRNA from 1 species
AAGAAAGGUGUGACAUCCUUGCUGGCUUCAAUGUGAAGAGCCACCCUGAUUCUGGGAUUCUGAUAGGAAUAAGGUAGAUGAUGCAUAUCUGAACCUGGAAACCGCUUCCCACUGUAGAGCGUGUCUGAGUCAUGUCCCUUAGCUUCAGCAGAGCAGAUCCAGCAGGCUCUGAGCUUGACCUCUUUGCCUGAAGCGAGACCUCUAGGUAACGUCUCCAGGGAGGGUGGCACAAAGGAUCCUGGAUCUCCUGAUCACAGCAGCCCAAGAGUGCCGUGUGUGCACCAUGGCUCAAGAAGACUUAAAAAGGGGAAAGUAUGACUAUUUCUAAUCUGUAGUAUUUCAGUAUUUUUAAUGUUUCGGUAAUCUGUAUGAAAAAGAAUUUGCAAUAAAUAGAAUAAUUUGCCUAAAAUUGAAUCUAUUUCACCAAUAAAAUUGGCUUUUAAUCAAGUGAUAAAUCCUGUAAAAUAGAUAAUAAAUGCAGUACCAACAUAGUUUGAUUCUAGUACACUGAGAUAAUCUUGAAUACGUUAAGAAAGUCUUGUUUGUAUAGAAGAGUUUCAAAUCAUGUGAGUGAUGAAGGGACCCUUCUGUUGAACCUUGGUGUGCAUUUUAGGUCCAUUUUGGGUUUACUCCUUUGUGCUGCUUCAUGAUGCCUUAGGACAAGGACAAGGCCUAGGCCUCCUUGUCUCAGUUCCCUCCUGCUCUCUCUGUUGCCCUCCUCCUUCCACCUGGAGCAUGGCCCAGCAUCAGGUUGGCGCAUGCUGUGAUCAGCUACCUCCAUGUACCACACCAAGCAAAGCUCUCUGGGUGACACAGUUGCCACCACCAGGGCACUGACCCUUACUCUGUGUUCUCCUAGCUCCUCCUGAGGGUGCUGUAGGAGACAUCUGCAAAAAAGAAGAUGCUGGCAAUAUGCCAUCAACCUCAGAGGGGAGUAUUUACCUUGAAAUGGCUCACUUCCUGAGGAACAAACUUGCUGGAUCUAGUGUACGGAAACCUGAUUCUGGGUUCCUUUGGGAAGGAGCAUUACGGGCCUGCUCCUGGACCACCUCAUAUCACCAGCACCCUCUACCCAAGGUCCUGGAGCCAACACUGGAGUAAAAGAGCACAAGAGAACUCCUUAGAGGUGGAAGUGGCUGGAAGUUGCAGAGGUUUCAGAAGCUCAUCCAAGAUUCUGGAGCCUCCAUCUCCAGCCCUAAUGCUGUCCGCCUUUUCACCCAGCCACCACCUGUUUCAGGAGAACACACAGAAGUGAUGACCUUUUCUGGACAGGCAAGUAAAUCCUGCUGUUUUUAUUAUUCACGGAAAAAACACUGGCUCAUGGGAGGUGGGAAGGUGACAAACUCAUUCUCCCUGGACCCCAGGAACCACAGAUAGGAUUAUACUGACUACCAGUAUUUUAUUCGGUUAGUUCUACCUACAUGCAUCCUGUAGU